UCCCUUAGGGCAGAGGUGUUCAGGAACUGCUGACAUCUCUCCAGCUUACCCUGGAGCUGACAGGAAAAGAGGGGCCCCUUUCUGUGUGCUGUAGGAGGCUCAAAAUGUUGAAAUAGUCUGGCAGUCUGGCAGUCAGCAGAGGGAGAGUCCAUUCUGAGAGGUGCUGCACCUUUAAAAUCCAGGCUGAUAACCUAGAUUUCGACUUAUGCAAAAUCUGGGUUGUACAAAACCACGUGGAAGGGAACAAUUGCAUAAGCCGGGAUGCAACGAUGGUCAAUUACUUGGUGGUUGACUGGGGUUGAAUCGAGUGUGUCAGGGACCCGACCUUAAAUUAGAAAGGCAAGGAACCUGCCCUCCCUCAAACAAAUACAAACAGUCACACACAUUUAUUUGUUUGUUUAUUUAAUAUCCUUCGUCCAAGAUUGA